UCAUACUAAAAUUGCACUUUUUCUGACAUUGUUAUGGCAUACUAAUUGUUGGAGCCAUUCCAGUGGUGACCAGUGAGUGGCGCUGUGGGUUGCCAUGGUAGUGUAGACUCAUUUGGACCAAGUUGAUUCAGGUGUGACGCACAGAGAGGUCCAUCUAUGUUGUCUGACUGCAGAGUCUGGUUAAUGAUGCUAGUGUUUAUUUGAAGAGAUGUAACUUACUUUUGUGACAGUGGGAAAAUAAAUGGAUUGAUAUCUAAACACAGUUAGAGCAACUGUGUUUAUCUGGAUCUGUAUGUUGUCCAUCACAAGGGAACAGCUGUGCAACCGGAGAGACCUGUCCCAUGAACAAGUGAAAUGAUUUGUUGCUGCCGCUGACUGACCGGUUACCAGUGACGUUCCUCCCUCAGGACUUCCUCUGACGCACCGUCUCGGAGCUGCCGUUGAGUUUGCUCCGCCCGGAGGGGGUGACCGUGCUGCCGUUGCCUAGGGGGCGCUCCCGGUCCGUGGGGACUUCCUGUUUGCGUCGACGGGUCUCUUUGUAACGAAGUGUGAUGUCACUGUGAGAAGAUCGAAGAAAGGAAACUUUCUAUUUCCACCAUAAUAUGCAUCGUCAUGGAGAAAAGCCAGGAGUCCAAGCAGUCCUUACCGGAUGAAAAACCGCCACAGGGUCCAGGUAAAGAUGAGGAGGAGUCCUAAGAACCAGCACUGCGUAACGACGAAGGGGAUGGGCAGCAUGAUGGUCCUGGGGUCGUACUUGACCACUAUGAGGAACUCCG